AAACUCAAAGGAAUUGACGGGGGCCCGCACAAGCAGUGGAGUAUGUGGUUUAAUUCGAAGCAACGCGAAGAACCUUACCAGGUCUUGACAUCGUGCGCAUAACCUAGAGAUAGGUGAAGCCCUUCGGGGCGCAUAGACAGGUGGUGCAUGGUUGUCGUCAGCUCGUGUCGUGAGAUGUUGGGUUAAGUCCCGCAACGAGCGCAACCCUUAUUACUAGUUGCUACGCAAGAGCACUCUAGUGAGACUGCCGUUGACAAAACGGAGGAAGGUGGGGAUGACGUCAAAUCAUCAUGCCCCUUAUGACCUGGGCUACACACGUACUACAAUGGCACUUUAACAGAGGGCUGCUACAUCGCGAGGUGAAGCGAAUCCCGAAAAGUGUCUCAGUUCGGAUUGCAGGCUGCAACUCGCCUGCAUGAAGUCGGAAUUGCUAGUAAUCGCGGAUCAGCAUGCCGCGGUGAAUACGUUCCCGGGCCUUGUACACACCGCCCGUCACACCAUGGGAGUCGGUAACACCCGAAGCCAGUAGUCUAACCGCAAGGGGGACGCUGUCGAAGGUGGGAUUG
rnacentral:rRNA from 1 species